rnacentral:sRNA from 1 species
GGGGACACGAGGUCAUGUGGCGGCCUUGGUGGACUUAGGCAGCAAUCCCAUCGAUAUCUCUCUGGGCCUGGACACAGUAUCGGAUAUCAGGAAUGGUCUGAUGUAUUUCCAAUAAUAGAAAACCAGCUCAUAUUUCUUUCCUACGAGGAAAAUAUCAGGAUAUCUAGUUGGAUACUAUAUCAAAGAAUUGAGGAAACUACCGACCGCCAACUGAGGAGUAGGCAAAUGACAGUGAAGGGCGAAAUCUUCCAUGUUUGCUAUAAAUAUCCAUAGACGAAUCUGGUAAACGAACGGGUUGUAAAUCCAACAUCGGGAUUCGUCCCCGGCAAAGUUUACAGGGUAGGAUCAACUGAAACGCGCUUACGCGUGGACAAAGCGUACGUUGAGCAAAAAGGGAAAAAAAGAAAAAAGGGUAAGGAAAACGGUGGCUGCAUGGAAUGUCGAACAUGCGCGAAGAGAUGAUUAAAACGGAAAGGAAAGGAAAAGGAAAGGAAAGUAAAGAGAGUGGAAAACAAAAUACUAUAAGUCAUUUGUAUGAAAGAAAAAAAGAGAAAGAAAG